UACGUAGGGCGCAAGCGUUAUCCGGAAUUAUUGGGCGUAAAGAGCUCGUAGGCGGUUUGUCGCGUCUGCUGUGGAAACCGGAGGCUCAACCUCCGGCCUGCAGUGGGUACGGGCAAACUAGAGUGCGGUAGGGGAGAUUGGAAUUCCUGGUGUAGCGGUGGAAUGCGCAGAUAUCAGGAGGAACACCGAUGGCGAAGGCAGAUCUCUGGGCCGUAACUGACGCUGAGGAGCGAAAGCGUGGGGAGCGAACAGG
rnacentral:rRNA from 1 species